AUUGAACGCUGGCGGCAGGCCUAACACAUGCAAGUCGAGCGGCAGCGGGACCUUCGGGUUGCCGGCGAGCGGCGGACGGGUGAGUAAUGCCUAGGAAUCUGCCUGUUAGUGGGGGAUAACGCGGGGAAACUCGCGCUAAUACCGCAUACGUCCUACGAGAGAAAGGGGGGGACCUUCGGGCCUCACGCUAACAGAUGAGCCUAGGUCGGAUUAGCUAGUUGGUGGGGUAACGGCCCACCAAGGCGACGAUCCGUAACUGGUCUGAGAGGAUGAUCAGUCACACUGGAACUGAGACACGGUCCAGACGCCUACGGGAGGCAGCAGUGGGGAAUAUUGGACAAUGGGCGAAAGCCUGAUCCAGCCAUGCCGCGUGUGUGAAGAAGGUCUUCGGAUUGUAAAGCACUUUAAGCCGGGAGGAAGGGCUGUAGGCGAAUACCCUGCAGUCUUGACGUUACCGGCAGAAUAAGCACCGGCUAACUUCGUGCCAGCCGCCGCUGUAACAC
rnacentral:rRNA from 1 species